ACCAGCUGUAUGGUCUUGGGAUCCCAAUUCAUAGCUCCAGCCUAGACCAGUCCAGAAACCCCCAAAUGCUUCUAUCUGCUGCCUCCACAGUGUAUCCUGAAUCUGUUCACGUCUCCUAGUGGGCACUGCUGCCACCCUCAGCCCAGCUGUCUUCGUCUCCUGCCUGGACCGCUGCAGUACCCACCAACAGAAUGUAAUUUUCUUGAGAACAGAAGAUGGUGUUGUUUAUAGGAUCCCAGCCCCUAGAAUUCUGCCAGGCACUUCAUGGGUACUCAAAUAUUGGACCAAAUGCGUCUGAUUCCCCCACGGCCUAAGAAACACUAAGAAACACUUUAGCUAUAACUUCCUUAUCCCUGCCAGUCAGCGACCACUAGUCAACCUUCUGUCUCUAUCGAUUUGCCUAUUUUGGACAUUUCAUAUGAGUGGAACUUUACAAUAUAUGGUCUUCUGUGUCUGGCUCCUGUCAGUUCGAGACCAAUGCUUUCAAGGUUCAUCCAUGUUAUAGUAUGUGUUAGUACUUCAUUUUUAUGUCCAAAUAAUAUUCCAUUGUAUGCAUCUACCACAUUUGGCUUUCCCGUUCAUCAGUCGACGGACACCUGGGUUGUUUCCACCAUUUGACUAUUAUGAAGAAUGCUAACUACCAAGAACAUUGGUGUACAAAGUUUUGUUUGGAAGUACGCUUUCAGUUCUCUUGGGUUUGGCCCUAGGAGUGGAAUUGGUGGGUCAUAUGGUGACUCUUUCACUUUUUGAGAAACUGCCCGACUAUUUUCUGAAGUAGUUACACCAUUUGCAGUGAACUUUUCAGAGGCUAUGCUUGUUACGUUUGAUGUAGUAUCAAAGAAGAUUAUCCAUAAUUAUCUGGAAAAACCCUUAAAAUAUUCCCAUUUCCCACUACACAUCUGUGUCAGGUAGAUUUUCUUCAUGUGCUUCAAUCCGAACAGCAUACUGCAGAGGGAGAUAAGAGAAUCCAGCUGUCUUCCAUGAAGCCAGACAUUUAAAAGAUUUGCAGAAAUGGGAAAACCGUUUCCUCUUCUCAUUAAAUUUCUUUUUUUUUUUGUUUUGAAAACUAUUUUCACACACAUACACACAAACUGUUGAAUAGGUUCAUUGUUUGUUAAAUGAAUAAUUUAUCAAAAACAAAUAUUUUAAGAAUUUAUGUCUUAAUUUCCAAUAUGAUAAAUGUCAAAAGCCAUAAUUCUCAUAAACCCACAUUUUGGGGUCCUCAAUAACUUUUAAGAGUGUAAAAGCUCCUUGGGACCAAAAACUUGGAAUGCAUUCUGGCUGAUGCGC